CUAUGCGCCUUGCCAGCCCGCUCAGGUGUGCCAGCCGCCGCGGUAAUACGGAGGAUGCGAGCGUUAUCCGGAUUUAUUGGGUUUAAAGGGUGCGUAGGCGGGAUGCCAAGUCAGCGGUAAAAAUGCGGUGCUCAACGCCGUCGAGCCGUUGAAACUGGCGUUCUUGAGUGGGCGAGAAGUAUGCGGAAUGCGUGGUGUAGCGGUGAAAUGCAUAGAUAUCACGCAGAACUCCGAUUGCGAAGGCAGCAUACCGGCGCCCUACUGACGCUGAGGCACGAAAGCGUGGGUAUCGAACAGG
rnacentral:rRNA from 1 species